rnacentral:rRNA from 1 species
CGUGAAGAUUCACCCUUCAGUGAAGGAUACCUUCGAGAAAUCGAAGUUAAUACUAGCAUACGUCCCUACGGGGAGAAAGAUGGCCUCUUUGCUGUCGCUGAUUAGAUGAGCUUACGUACUAUUAGCUAGUUGGUAGGGUAAGGCCUACCAAGGCGAUGAUGGUUAACCGGCCUGAGAGGGUGUACGGUCACACUGGAACUUAGACACGGUCCAGACUCCUACGGGAGGCAGCAGUGAGGAGUCUUGCGCAAUGGGCGAAAGCCUGACGCAGCGACGCCGCGUGGAGGAUGAAGGUCUUCGGAUUUGUAAACUUCUAGUUAAGUGGGAAGAAAGGCGCAGUUUAAUAGAGUUGCGAGAUGACGGUACCAUUAGAGAAAGCACCGGUAACUUCGUGCCAGCAGCCGGGG